rfam:Capsicum annuum cultivar Zunla-1 chromosome 3, whole genome shotgun sequence
UGGUGAUGACAAGGACAAUUUCUAAACUUGCCUUUAAAUCUCUCCCAAGCUUGUUAGAGAUUUUCUCCAUCUUUUUAUCUAAAAUUUAAGAUAUCACUCCUCAAUCC